rnacentral:rRNA from 1 species
AGCGUAGACGGCAAGGCAAGUCUGAUGUGAAAACCCAGGGCUUAACCCUGGGACUGCAUUGGAAACUGUCUGGCUCGAGUGCCGGAGAGGUAAGCGGAAUUCCUAGUGUAGCGGUGAAAUGCGUAGAUAUUAGGAAGAACACCAGUGGCGAAGGCGGCUUACUGGACGGUAACUGACGUUGAGGCUCGAAAGCGUGGGAGCAAACA